rnacentral:misc_RNA from 1 species
UGCAAGGUUUCCAACAAAUAAUCAUCUGAAGGCUGAAGUGACUCAGUUGGUGCAAUUGCAUAUAUUGGAGAUACGUCAUAUACCUGAAGCUUUGCCAUACUUUGUUACACCUAAAGCCAUUGACGAAAAUUCAACACUUCUACAACAAUUGCCGCACUGGGCUGCAUGCUCAAUUACACAGGCACUGGAGUUUCUCACACCAGCAUACAAGGGUCAUCCACGUGUCAUGGCUUAUGUUCUAAGGGUGUUGGAGUCUUACCCUCCUCAAAGAGUAACUUUCUUCAUGCCUCAACUGGUGCAGGCUCUGAGAUAUGAUGACGAGAAAUUGGUGGAAGGAUACUUGCUCAGAGCUACUCAAAGGAGUGACAUAUUUGCUCAUAUUCUGAUAUGGAAUCUGCAGGGUGAGACUUGUGAGCCAGAGGGGGCGAAAGAUUCUUCUGCAAAGCAUGCUGCAUUCUUGGCCCUACUUCCUCUUGUGAGGCAACGAAUAAUUGAUGGGUUCAAUGAAAAGGCUAGUGAUGUGUUUCGAAGAGAGUUUGAUUUCUUUGAUAAGGUCACGUCUAUAUCUGGCGCACUUUAUCCACUUCCCAAGGAGGAGCGAAGAGCUGGUAUUCGGAGGGAGCUUGAGAAAAUUGAGAUGCAAGGAGAUGAUCUGUAUCUACCUACUGCUCCUAAUAAAAUCGUGAAAGGGAUUCAGGUUGAUAGUGGAAUUCCCUUGCAAUCAGCUGCCAAGGUUCCUAUUAUGAUCACAUUUAAUGUGGCAGAUCAAGACGGCGAUCAAAAUGACAUAAAACCCCAAGCUUGUAUAUUCAAGGUUGGAGAUGAUUGUCGGCAAGACGUUCUUGCUUUACAAGUUAUUUCACUUCUGAAAGAUAUCUUUGAAGCUGUUGGGCUUAGUCUUUAUUUAUUUCCUUAUGGAGUUCUCCCAACUGGCCCAGAAAGAGGAAUAAUUGAGGUCGUACCCAACACACGGAGCAGAAGUCAGAUGGGUG